UAUAACAAUUCAGCUUUCAUUUUUAAAUUUUUUUUUUAUUGAAGUUCAACAAUCUCGCUCUAUACUCAAAUUUUUUUUAUGAUUUUUAUUUUCAGUUUUCCCUGCUUUCGCUCCAUGCCGCGCGACAUUCUAGUUCUCCUUUCUCCUACCUAGCUUCUCCUCCAAGGAUUCAAUCAGAAUUGCUUUUUGUUCAUGAAGAAUAUCUUGAAAUUCAGCUGAAGUGGUUUAAUCGAGUUUUAAAGAAUAUGGAAACUUCAAGUCUUGUAGCGUUCGUGAAUGGACAAUCAGUUCAAUGAUUGACGGGGAAAUCAAUUGAUCAUCAACUCAUCAUCAUUAAGAUUCAAGCUAAUGGUUUCGAAGGACCAAUACUAUUCAGUAUAGCAACAAACUAUGGAGUGGCUACGAGUCUCUUAUGGUGAAUCAAUUGUCCGGUCAAAUUCCAAAGUUUAUUGGGAAUAUCAUAGCAACUCACUUGUUUGUAUGACUCUUGUGAGAGACAUGUUUGUAACUUACAAGUAAAUAUAUCAUUUUCUAGCUAUAUUAUAGAUUAGAUGAUUUAUAUGUAAAUUUCAUUUAACUUGGGCCUUAUAUGGUUCAGAUUGAUAAUCAUUAUUGUAUUUAGUAUAAAAAUCAAUUAUUUAUAGUGUUUCACAUACAAAAAAAUGCAGUGUAGGAGGGGGUGGUGGCAGU